CCAACUCAGAAGCUAGGAUAUGCAUAUUAUUAACACAUUCGGAUAGAAAACACUCUGAAUUUUCUAAAACAGUUUGAAUGGUGUCUGUAAGUAUAACAAAACUCAUAUUGCAGGCAAAAACCUGUGAAAAAUAGAUCAAAAAAAAAUGUGAAUUUUGUGACUGUACUAUUUAGUGUCAUUGUUUUAUAGAUACCAUAGUGAGAAAGGAUUCAUUUCGCAACACCUACGGCUUCCACUAGAUGUCAACGAUCUUUAUAAAGUUGUUUGAAGCGUCUAUGAUAAACAGAGAGCAAAUUAGAAUCCAAGGAAGUUGACAUGUCAUCACUUCAUUUUUUUGCGCCUGCGCAUAAAUCUGAGAAACGUGAGUUUGUCAUCAUUUUUUAUCUAGACAUAGGAUAGGUUGUGUGAAAAUAUUACUGAUGUUUAACGUUAAAAAUGGAGCAAAAGAUUAAUGCUAAACAACAUUUGACAUGUUUGAACGAACAUAAAUAGAUUAUUUACUAGGUUUUUUUUUAGCUUUUCGGCGUGAUUUUACCAGCCCCCAACCACGUUUUGUGGGAGCAUAAUGAACGCUAAGUACUUGGUGUUAUUUGGACAUAAAUUAUGAACUUUGUCAAAAGAAACCACAUUUGUUCCGGACCUGGGAUGCCUUCCGGACCUGGGAUGCCUGUCUUCUGAUGGAGAUAAUCAAAGGUGUGAACAAUCAAGACAUAACCAAUCGACAAAGAAACAUGGAUCGGUGGCAGCUAGAAAGCCGGUGACGAUGACCGCCGAACGCUGCCCGAACAAGGAGAGGCACCAACAUCGGCGGAAGUCGUGACAACGAGGAGGAUCUCUGCAACUUCACCUGUUGACCGCUCCUGAAGAUCUGGGUAAACUGUGCACAGGGGAUCCAAAAUUGGGAGCUCGGGGAAACCACACUCCAAAGGAGAAGCUGGACCCUCCUCAGAUCUGCAGGAAGCGGGCACGGAUGGAUAUCAGAUCUCGAACAUAGUGCUGAGAGAGUGUGUGAGUGAAGGAGCCGGAACCAUGGGAGCACACGGUAGCGAAGGACACGGAAUUCCAGAUCCCCCAAAGGAUGCCCUGAAGGUUAAGUGCUGCCUGUGGCUGUCGACCUUCUUUCCCCCGCCUCUGCCUGAUGCCCUAGCUCUGCACUCCACUACGCCUCUUCACCCAACUCUGUUCCUCCCCUCUCGUAUGAAUCUCCCCUAGCAGCAGCGGUGGACCAACUGCUCUCUGAACUGGCCAUGCAUCAACUCCAAAACCAACCAGAAAAGGGUGCUGCUGGAGGAGCCAGAGCAGAAUGUAGGAAGAGCAACAACCUCUUCUCACAAUAACCACCUCUAGCCAGCCCGUUGGAGGAUGAUGACGACAACAGUGAUACAUCCUCUCAGAACGGAGCAUCAGCUCCCUACUCUCUUCCCCUCCGCUUAAGAGCCAUCUGCAAAGGAAGAUAGACCCGCCGACACCCUCACCAUAUGAUCUAGCACCAGAUAUGUAUCAACAGUACCCUCUGAUUGCAUGUCCAAACCCUCAGCCAUGACCAGCUGCAGGCCACACUGAUUUGGCUGCCUGGCAACCAAUCAUAUACCCAGAGGUCAUGGAGACAUGAUGAAAUUAAAGACAUUGUUGAGGAUUUGCCUGACCCCAGCAAAGAUGCGGUAAAGUUUGCAGCAGAAAUGAGGGUUCUGUCAGGACAGCACCAGCCAUCUGCAGCUGAGAUAGCCCAUAUCUGUAAGAAGAAACUAGGGCUUAGGUGGGCUGAUGUAGAAGGGGACUUUGAUUAUAAUCAGCUCUGGGAUGGGAAUGGAACUGUAUCCCGUCAAGACUGACUGGACAUCCAUCAGAGAAUGCACCAUCAAGAAAGAUGAGAGCCUGGAAGCGUAUUGAAGGAGACUGGAAACCUGUUUCAGGCUGCAAAGCGGCAUCAGACCAAAUUACCUGGCAUAUGGAAAUCUGUUGUAGGACGCCCUGAUGAGGGGCCUGACACCAGACUUGGAGAAAGCGGUGAGAACCACCUGUAUCAGUUGGGAAACUGAACCCCUGUCCACUGUGGUACAACAUUGCAAACAUGCUGAGCGACAACAAUGUGCUCAGAAGGAAGAAAAUACAAAAGAAGAAAGAGUGAAGACUGAAAUUGCAUUCUACCAAGACCAGGUGCCUGCUGGAGUGGGAGGUGGUGGAGGUGGAAGAAAACCCAAACUUGGAAGUUGCUUCACCUAUGGCAAGCCAGGCCAUUUCGGUGCACAAUGCAAUCAAGCCCAGCAGCUGAUGGGAAGAGGCAGGGGCAGACCAAGAGGCAGAGGAGCCCCAAGGGGGGCCCCUCGAGGAGGAGGUCCACCAGGAGGACAAGGAUUGUGGUAUCCCCCUGCUCAACAGCCAUGGCAGCCGCCACCCAACCAAUGGCCAGGGCCACCCCCACAUGGGGGCCCUCCGCCACCGUGGGGACCACAAGGGAGCCCUCAAGGCAGAGGCCAAUCUGGGCAAGGGCAGAUGGGCCCGCCUGCACAGACGACCCUGUACAAUCCAGGACAAGAAAAGGAGGAAGAAUAUUGACAUGGAGAGACAGACACAGAUGAGGGUGAAAGCAGCUUUGCCUCAGCCCCUGGUGGGAAUCCUACAUAAGCUUCAACCUGGUGACUGGGUUGUGGUCAAGGACCUGAGGAGGAAGCAUUGGACCCAGCAGAAGUGGAAUGGCCCAUUCCAGGUGUUGCUGAUAAACCCCACCACUGUUCGAGUGGCUGAGAGAUCGACAUGAGUACACUCCAGCCACUGCAGGAAGGUCCCAUAUGAUCCAGUUUCAGAUGUCCCGGAGGAUGGGUUUCCGCCAGCCAUGACCUAGUUGGCCGUGGGAGAAUCAGGAUGAAGUCAGAGGAAUCCUGGUUGUUGCAUUCUUUGCCAGCCUCUUCAUCUCAAUGACUGUUUGAACCCUGCAGAGAGGGGAAUAGGCGAAAGGGGAGGAUGGCCCAAAUAUCACUGCAGUCCCAAAGCUGGGACUUAAUAACAGCCACUCCAGCUCAAGCCAAUGGCAGGCUCAGGACAUGAGUCCAGUAAACAAUAGCCACACUGAGACCAGAAGAAGCAGGAGCUCGAUGCAUCCACUGGAUGAGCAUCACAGCCAGAAUCAUGAGGAAAACACUUGGUGGUCACUGCUUAAUUAUACAGUAAAAACUGAACUAAUGGUAGAAAACACCUCCUGUCAUGUAUGUAGUCUUUUUCCACGCUCAGCGAUCUCAACAUUCUUACAGUAUUCAGUAGAGGCCAGCAUUAACGACACUCUAUGUGCACUGGAAGUCAUCUUAUCAAAUUAAACUUCAUGGGGUUAACCUUCACAGGGUAGAACUAUGAAGGAAAAAUGCAUUAAUGAUGAUUUGUCAUUGUCAAAAGAUAUGAGGCAGAUUUGAUUGUAAACGUUGGUGUACUAAAAUGAUUUUAGAACCUAGACACCGUGUACUGAAACCUAUACUAAUCCAACCCCGCCAUUGUCACAACCCAAGUAUUAUCUCCAUACCACGAUCUUAUGAAUCCUAUUUGGGAAUGUCAACAUGUGUUAAUUAUAGUCUUCCCAUUAGGAUGUAGCUGGAUAAAUGGAACAUGCAAUUCUAACUGGCCUGUUAAACUUAAUGUGGGGCACACCACCAUUCAAGUAGAAACAGACGAGCGCUGUCCACAUCAAUAUGGCUCAGCCACGUUUAAUGAUCAUUAUUGGAUCUGUGGUAAUAAGGCAUAUCUUUAUUUACCAACAAAUUGGACAGGGUGCUGUGUUUUUGGUAAACUAAACAUCUCCAUUGUUGUAAUGCAUAAAACAAACUCCUCCAUUCCACGCAGAUUAAGACGGAUUAGGAGGAGCAUUUCACAAUUGAAUGACGUUCCAAUUGAGUCACGACGAUCCUCAGAACUUGAAGUUUUGGCAUGGGUUAAUUUCUUGAUAUGGGGCAUCGGAAAAUGCCCAUGACUUAGAACGAUUGGGAUAUCAUUUAGAAACUUUUGUAAAUUUAAACCACUUCAGGAUUUUCGAUAAUGAGACCAGAAUUACAAGCAGCUCGCCUCACGGCUAUACAGAAUAGAUUAGCACUUGAUAUGUUACUAGCACAGGAAGGGGGAGUGUGCCAAAUGAUAGGUGAAUAUUGCUGUACAUUCAUACCCCAGGAUGAGGGUAACUUCACUAUUGUUGUGGAACAUCUGGAAGAGCUCACCGGCGAUCUCACAAAAGAACACCAACCAGACAACAAUUGGAAUCCGUUUGGAUGGGUUCAAUCAUUAUUUGGUGUUAUGGAAACAACAGUUUUCCAUUGGCUCAUUUAUGGCCAAUUAAUAUUUUUUGCUGUGCUAUUUCUUAUUGUCUAUGUUAAAAAUCUUUGUUGUAAAGUGCUGGAUACUGCCCUCACUAUGCCAUUGCUUGAUGUUCAUGCUGACUCUGAGGAUGAUGAGAAUAAUGAUGAUGUAUCUAUAAAUGAUCGAAUGCCUGAUAUUCCAGACCUAUUUCCCAUUCCUGAUUACAUACAGUGGGGAGAACAAGUAUUUGAUACACUGCCAAUUUUGCAGGUUUUCCUACUUACAAAGCAUGUAGAGGUCUGUAAUUUUUAUCAUAGGUACACUUCAACAGUGAGAGACAGAAUCUAAAACAAAAAUCCAGAAAAUCACAUUGUAUGAUUUUUAAGUAAUUAAUUUGCAUUUUAUUGCAUGACAUAAGUAUUUGAUACAUCAGAAAAGCAGAACUUAAUAUUUGGUACAGAAACCUUUGUUUGCAAUUACAGAGAUCAUACGUUUCCUGUAGUUCUUGACCAGGUUUGCACACACUGCAGCAGGGAUUUUGGCCCACUCCUCCAUACAGACCUUCUCCAAAUCCUUCAGGUUUUGGGGCUGUCGCUGGGCAAUACGGACUUUCAGCUCCCUCCAAAGAUUUUCCAUUGGGUUCAGGUCUGGAGACUGGCUAGGCCACUCCAGGACCUUGAGAUGCUUCUUACGGAGCCACUCCUGGCUGUGUGUUUCGGGUCGUUGUCAUGCUGGAAGACCCAGCCACGACCCAUCUUCAAUGCUCUUACUGAGGGAAGGAGGUUGUUGGCCAAGAUCUCGCGAUACAUGGCCCCAUCCAUCCUCCCCUCAAUACGGUGCAGUCGUCCUGUCCCCUUUGCAGAAAAGCAUCCCCAAAGAAUGAUGUUUCCACCUCCAUGCUUCACGGAUGGGAUGGUGUUCUUGGGGUUGUACUCAUCCUUCUUCUUCCUCCAAACACGGCGAGUGGAGUUUAGACCAAAAACCUAUUUUUUUGUCUCAUCAGACCACAUGACUUUCUCCCAUUCCUCCUUUGGAUCAUCCAGAUGGUCAUUGGCAAACUUCAGACGGGCCUGGACAUGCGCUGGCUUGAGCAGGGGGACCUUGCGUGCGCUGCAGGAUUUUAAUCCGUGAUGGCGUAGUGUGUUACUAAUGGUUUUCUUUGAGACUGUGGUCCCAGCUCUCUUCAGGUCAUUGAACAGGUCCUGCCGUGUAGUUCUGGGCUGAUCCCUCACCUUCCUCAUGAUCAUUGAUGCCCCCCGAGGUGAGAUCUUGCAUGGAGCCCCAGACUGAGGGUGAUUGACCAUCAUUUUGAACUUCUUCCAUUUUCUAAUAAUUGCGCCAACAGUUGUUGCCUUCUCACCAAGCUGCUUGCCUAUUGUCCUGUAGCCCAUCCCAGCCUUGUGCAGGUCUACAAUUUGAUCCCUGAUGUCCUUACACAGCUCUCUGGUCUUGGCCAUUGUGGAGAGGUUGGAGUCUGUUUGAUUGAGUGUGUGGACAGGUGUCUUUUAUACAGGUAACGAGUUCAAACAGGUGCAGUUAAUACAGGUAAUGAGUGGAGAACAGGAGGGCUUCUUAAAGAAAAACGAACAGGUCUGUGAGAGCCGGAAUUCUUACUGGUUGGUAGGUGAUCAAAUACUUAUGUCAUGCAAUAAAAUGCAAAUUAAUUACUUAAAAAUCAUACAAUGUGAUUUUCUGGAUUUUUGUUUUAGAUUCCGUCUCUCACAGUUGAAGUGUACCUAUGAUAAAAAAAUUACAGACCUCUACAUGCUUUGUAAGUAGGAAAACCUGCAAAAUCGGCAGUGUAUCAAAUACUUGUUCUCCCCACUGUAUCUGAUGAUGAGGACCCUAACCCUGAUCUUAGAGCUAAGGGUAUUGAACUAAUGGUCCACUCAGUUUGUAGGACAUAUCCCAAGAAAGGUAGAUGUUCUUGGUGUUAAAAAUCAAUGAAUGGUAAGGAUGGACAUUUUCAUAAUUCUGACCCCUAUCUUUGUGCGUAGUGCCAGCGUGAUGAUUAUCCUAUUGCUGUAAUGAAACUUUUGUGUGAUUGAAUUUUUGUUUCGUUUUCUGUUCCCGAUUGACUGUUUUUGGAUAAGAAAGGUCUGAAACUCAGCAACCCAAAGGAAGGGUUUUUACAAUGGAUGAAAUGUCAGGCACCAGAAAUAUGUACUUUGUUUAAAAUGUAUAUGUUUACCAAUAAUCAUGUAAUGCUUGUACCCUUACAUUUUUCUGUAAGAAACUUAGUUUCUUGAGAAGGAAAUGUGACAGAAAAAUUGUAUUUACCUAAUUUGUUGGAUAUUUAACAAGUAUUUACUUACCAAACAGUAAAAUAUUUCUGUCCUGCUAAUUCUGUGUUAAAGUGAUGGUUUCCACUUUAACUUCCUAUAGUUACUCUGGGUGUCUGGUUCAGGAAAUGGGUUUUGCUAGAGAUAGCUUGAGCUGACAAUGACUUGGUGAUAAAAACCUAAAAGCUGGCAUUUCAUAGACAAGAUGUGGUGUGUGACCCGAGAUAGAGAGAGCCUGGAAGAGCUUAGAACAAUGCCUCAUCUUCCUGGCAUCUUGGAAACUUAGCCGGAUUGAAAGUAAAACAAGAUCCCGUGCAGAUGAACCAAGUUGGCUUAUGGGAAGGGUAUAAAUGAAUGACUAAGCAUUUUUUAGGGCCUAUGUAAGAUCUCUGCUUUUUCAUUAUCAGUUAACCUGUUUAGGAUAGGGGGCAGUAUUUUCAUGGCCGGAUAAAAAAACGUACCCGAUUUAAUCUGGUUAUUACUCCUGCCCAGAAACUAGAAUAUGCAUAUAAUUAUUUUUAUUUGGAU
rnacentral:lncRNA from 1 species